CUGUCUGUCUGUCUAGCACCACAGCUCGGGCGCUGCUGCAGAGGGAAGAAAGAUUUGGGGAGAGGGGCUCAGAGACGGGCUGGGGGUGGGGUCUCCCUGGCUGAUUUUGGCCUGAAAAGGAUAGCUCCUUCGGCUUAGGGACUAGGGCUGGGACUGGGUGACAGGUGGGGAAACAGGCACAGAGAGGGCAGUGCCCAUUCCUGAUGUGGUCUGGAGUGGAGCCUGGGCAGGGUGGUACCACGUGGGUGCUUUAGUCUGUGGGCCACAGAGCCUCGAGACAGAGCACAGGGAGGGAUGGCACGGGGACCCAAGGACCGGGACUGGGAGUCCUUUUACCACCUCCUAGUGGGUGCUCUUAAGUCCAUCGUACGUGUUUCAUGUUCCCCGCGACCGGGGCCCUGCAGAGGCCCAGCCGCCGCUGGACUGCAGGAAGUAUUUAUGAGCACAUCUGUGUGCUGCAAUUGUGUGUCUCUAACGGGGGAGGGGGAGGAGGGGAUUUGGUGGUGAUUAUUUAAGGUAGAGGGCAGCAAGGGGAUGGGGGCAGAAGAAGUGCGGCUCCCGCACGGUUACUGUGCUGCUUGUAUAGGAGAGAGGCACACCCGCCUCAGGGAUGAGAGCGGGUCGGGACCAGAGGCCUGUGGGUAAUUCUCGGUAUCCGCGGGAAGGGAGCAAAGGGAUCCGAGUGGUUUGCGGUCCUUCAUGGUUUUAUUACACAUCGUAGGAGAAUAAAGAAGUUGUAAUGAUGGCCUUGAGUAGAGCAAUUGUGAGACUGUGCUGGACAAAAGACGGUGAUUAAUCCAGGUCCGCUAACCCAACAUCCGCACACAAAAAGCUCUGGGCUAUUUGCUUCCCUUUAAGGGGGCUUUGUGUUCCCUAGAAUGGGCACACUGGGGUUUCUCCUCUGGAGAAGAUCCCCGCUGUGGGGAAGGAAACUGAAGUCCGGCACAAGCCAGGACUGCUGGGCGUCCCCUGUGUAGUUAACAACGAGUAUGGACGCACCGAGGAAGUGAGAGCGCCAACACGCGCCAAUGCGGAGAGCGUGUCUAUGGACAGGUGUUAGGAGCGAUCUGGCUCUACCCAAAGUAGUUGUUAAAAAUAGUGAAACAGACACCCAACUGUGGGUGUGGGUAGGAAGCAUAGCCCCAGGUGUAUUUAAGAAAAGAAAAGUAAAAGGAGUUCCCUGGCGGCUCAGGGGGUGAAGGAUCUGGUGUCGUCAUUGAUGUGGCUCAGGUCACUGCUGUGGUAUGGGUUCAAGGCCUGGCCCUGGAAUUUACAUAUAUAAAUGUCAUGGGAAUGGCCAACAAAAAACCAAAAAAGCCCAGAUGUGUGGAACAGUCAUUGGUCCUGGGCUGAAUGGUGCCUUCGUGUGUAUCUGCCUAUGGUCGGAAAUGAAUUAGACGCGUAAAUAAAAUACAGGACGAAAUCAGAGCAGACCAAGUGGGAACCAUCCAAGAUAAGGUUUUACGAAUUACAGAGUAAGAUGAACACGCUUAUGUAGAAUCGUGGACUGUUUAGAGCAACAAAACCAAAGUUCUCACCUCUGGGAAUAAGAAGCAUCGUUUUAUUGUGUGUUGGAGCUGAGUUCAUGUGUGUUCCCUGUAUUUAAAAAAAAAAAAGUAAAAACGAGAAAAGGGACAAGUAGGAAACAAAGAGGAGAUUACAUCUGGAAUCAAAGCUAAUUAUGGCUUCAGUUCUGAGCCCAUUAGGAAAAAGAUCUGGGCUGGUCCUUCUGUGAGGAGAGCAGCAGAGAGACAGAUGCUUAUCAUGGUCAUUAGUCUUGUUUCUGAUUAGGGUGGUGAAUUCAUGCAUGUUGAUUGUAAUAAAUAACAUGAUUAAACGAAAAAAUAUGCCCAGUGAGCGCUGUGCCUGGGCCGGCAGUGAGUCUGUGUCUUGAAGCAAAGGUUGUGAUUUAUCCUGGGCUGCGCAGCCGUUGGCUGUUAGCAAACAUCUAGGUUGAUUCAUCCUUUUUAACAUCUGCCUUGUGUCCCACAGAACGGAGGCCCCAGAGUGGGUCCCCUGACAUGCCGCUGGUGAAGACCGUGGCCGUGACCUCUGUGGGAAACGAGCCGUGGACCAACCAACGUUAUUACAGAAUAUUGAGUCGAUCUCCUUGUGCUUUACAGAAAGAUUCAAAAAGGACCAAGAAUGGCGAUGGGGAGUGUGGAGUUGCAUGAAGACUAUUGGCUGAUCCUUGUGCCACCAGCGAGGUCCCCUGUAGAAAGAUUCUAUUAGGUCUGAGAGAAAUGAACAAAAAUCACAGAUUCAACAUACCCAAUCUGAUUGACUCAGUGAUGAAGCUGUCAGCUGUCAGUAUCCGUGGAUACACAGCCAAGGGACUCACGUAUAGGAUGAAGAUGAUUUUUAUCUCAAAUGAUUCUGAAAAAGAGGGCAGACUCUGAAGAGUAUGGCGCAUAUAAGGUGGAGGAAGAUUAAUGACUGAUCCUGUUCCACCCUCCUGAGGGCCAUAUAACAAGAUGGGACCUAGUUUCUCCCUGCUUCGAUUAAGUACAUGGAGAUACGCCAGGUGCCGUACUGACUCCCCUCUUCCACUGUGACAGUCAGAGACACCUCGACAUCGGCAAGUGACCGCUGGGGGCAGUGUUGCCCCCACUGAGAAGCAUCAGGAAUGACCCCAGGACAGCACAUUUACUCAUUUUCUAAGGAACAAAAUCUUGGCAGUUAGCUCUGUGGCUUAAGAACAGAGAGAAAUUUAAUGCAAACACAGCAAGCUGAUCUGAUCCUUCUCUGACUGGGAAGACCCUGACUAUUCUGGGACUUAGGAGAUUAAAGGCCAAGGUGAGGAAGCAUCAGUGUUGGUGUUAUUACACCUGCUUUACCAUAAGGACAAAUCAGGCAAAAGGCAGAAGAGCAGGUGGACGCUAAUGAGUGAACAGAGAAUGGCUGAUUUAAUCAUUUAAUAAAGAAUUGCUAUCAUGAGCGAGCAGCAUAAAGUCUAAUAUAAAGUGAAGACACUGUCGCAUUUGGUCGUUAGCCUGUGAUGGAGACCUUGACCUUUGCCUCUCCGGAUAAAGAGAGAAGCGCUCGCUGGUGACGAUGGUGGCCAUGGCUUCCGUGGGUAAAUCGAGGAACAAAAAGGAUGCUGUUCUUGGGUCAGUGAUGACAGUGAGACUUGACUCGACUUCAUGAUUAACCUAGCACCACCAACUGAUGUUCUUUAAGUCAGUCUGGACCCUUUGUCCUUCUGAACGUUGCUCCACAGAAUGAAGGUCACGGCUGAUUGCAUCCGUCUGUUCUGAGGAAGAUCUUGGCUGUUACCUUUCUGGAAUGGAUGUGCAAUGAUUCAAUUAAAGACUAUAGAACUUACAGUGGGUGCUCCAGGUCAAUGUAAGCAUCUUCAAGAGUCCUGCUCUCUCUGGCCGCCUCAACGUGUCCGGAACAUGGAGACUGAUAAUCAACGCCUCAGCUGAUUUCAGCUUCUGCCACGAUCAAGACUGUCCUGCUGCCACCGUUUUGUAAAAGACCAAGACUGAACUCGACGAGAUGACUGGAAAAUUCUCUCAUGGUCACGUUCUCCGGUUGCCUCCACGUCUGGGCGUAUAGAGACCAGAAAAGAGCACUGAACUCACCCAAGCCACCACGUUCAGGACGUCAAGGCAGCAUCUCUGUCCAGAACCAUCAAGUCCAAUGGUGGAUGCUCUCAAGCCGGUGCAGACAUUGCCCGUGGCUUCUCCCGUGUGUGAAGAGCUAGCGAGGAAGAACUGAUGCACCUGAACCGAUUAAGCAUUUGGCCAUCACAGGAGCUGCACUGGUGGUCCUGUGCGCAAAAUGGAUCCUCUAAGCUGAUUUCAACUUCUGUGAUUAAGGUUGUCACGUUGCCUCCGUGUUGGGAAAGAGACAAAGGUUUUCUGGAAGGAUUCCUUCAUUGAUAACGAUGUAAGCUAUUUUCAUGGGAAGGGAAGAACAAGUUGGCGCUAGUGAAUGAACUGAAGUGGUGUUAUCCUUCUGCCCUGGCUCUGAACUCUGUGUCAGGAGCCAAGAGACCAAUAGUGGACCUGCCUGAAGGGGUUUAGCGCCUUCCAUGAUGACAAGCUCUUUGGCGGCAUCUACACAGCAUAAGCGUGGAGACCUGGUGUGCAGCCGCCGGACCUGAAGGCAGGCUCCUUCCUGGAUGAGCAGGCGAGGAUGGCAGCGUUGUCUUUGGAGCCAGAGAACCAGUGGUGGAAGCCGAAGGCCAGGCCAGGCUGCGUGGGGCCGAGACCCCUCCUCUGGCGGUGGUGGCAGGAGAGAUCCCAAGGCAGCCGCCAGGCCCGAAGGCCGGCUCCUUCCUGGAUGAGCAGGCGAGGAUGGCAGCGUUGUCUUUGGAGCCAGGGGACCAGUGUGAGCAGCAUCCCAGGGCUUGUCGGGGCUGGGCUGGGCAGGGCAGUGCGAGGGGCUGGUGGAGGGUGGGCGGCAGAUGCGGGCGAGGCCAGCAGUCCAGAAGGGCUCUGGCGUCCCAGGGAUGGGACAGCUCUGGCUAGGAAGGUCUCUUGGACGUCCUGCACAGGGGCCCAGCUGGUCCUCCGCGGCCCAGAGAGACCGAAAGCCAGGGGACGGGUCCUAGAGGCCCCCCGAGGGAUGGCGAGGCCUCGUUGGGUGGGGCGGGCCCCUUGGGUUGCCCAGUGGCCGUGCGGGGAGGAAUGCCUGACUCCACGGGCCAUGGCGAAGGAAGAGAAGGUCCCCCUUUUCUGGAUCGAUGAUGAUCAAUGCCAGCGUAUGAGGCAUCGAUGA
rnacentral:lncRNA from 1 species